rnacentral:rRNA from 1 species
AUAAUACUCCAUAGAUUAGAGACACUGGAAUGUUCUUUAGUCGAAAGUUCUGGCGCCUUAGGAUGGAUCUGCGGUCGAUUAGGUUGUUGUUGGGGUAACGGCCCAACAAGCCUGUAAUCGAUACGGGUUGUGGGAGCAAGAGCCCGGAGAUGGAAUCUGAGACACGAUUCCAGGCCCUACGGGGCGCAGCAGGCGCGAAAACUUUACAAUGCAGGAAACUGUGAUAAGGGAACUCCGAGUGCCCGUAUACGCGGGCUGUCCAGGUGUUUAAAAAUCAUCUGAAGAAAGGGCCGGGCAAGACCGGUGCCAGCCGCCGCGGUAAUACCGGCGGCUCGAGUGGUGGCCACUAUUAUUGGGCUUAAAGCGUCCGUAGCUGGACCGAUAAGUCUCUUGGGAAAUCCGCCGGCUCAACCGGCGGGCGUCUAAGGGAUACUGUUAGUCUAGGGACCGGGAGAGGUGAGAGGUACUCCGGGGGUAGGAGUGAAAUCCUGUAAUCCCCGGGGGACCACCGAUGGCGAACGCAUCUCACCAGAACGGCUCCGACAGUGAGGGACGAAAGCUGGGGGAGCGAACCGGAUUAAAUACCCGGGUAGUCCCAUCCGUAAACUAUGCGCGUUAGGUGU